rnacentral:rRNA from 1 species
GACGAACGCUGGCGGCGUGCUUAACACAUGCAAGUCGAACGGAAAGGCCCUGCUUUUGUGGGGUGCUCGAGUGGCGAACGGGUGAGUAACACGUGAGUAACCUGCCCUUGACUUUGGGAUGACUUCAGGAAACUGGGGCUAAUACCGGAUAGGAGCUCCUGCUGCAUGGUGGGGGUUGGAAAGUUUCGGCGGUUGGGGAUGGACUCGCGGCUUAUCAGCUUGUUGGUGGGGUAGUGGCUUACCAAGGCUUUGACGGGUAGCCGGCCUGAGAGGGUGACCGGCCACAUUGGGACUGAGAUACGGCCCAGACUCCUACGGGAGGCAGCAGUGGGGAAUAUUGCACAAUGGGCGGAAGCCUGAUGCAGCAACGCCGCGUGCGGGAUGACGGCCUUCGGGUUGUAAACCGCUUUCGCCUGUGACGAAGCGUGAGUGACGGUAAUGGGUAAAGAAGCACCGGCUAACUACGUGCCAGCAGCCGCGGUGAUACGUAGGGUGCGAGCGUUGUCCGGAUUUAUUGGGCGUAAAGGGCUCGUAGGUGGUUGAUCGCGUCGGAAGUGUAAUCUUGGGGCUUAACCCUGAGCGUGCUUUCGAUACGGGUUGACUUGAGGAAGGUAGGGGAGAAUGGAAUUCCUGGUGGAGCGGUGGAAUGCGCAGAUAUCAGGAGGAACACCAGUGGCGAAGGCGGUUCUCUGGGCCUUUCCUGACGCUGAGGAGCGAAAGCGUGGGGAGCGAACAGGCUUAGAUACCCUGGUAGUCCACGCUGUAAACGGUGGGUACUAGGUGUGGGGUCCAUUCCACGGGUUCCGUGCCGUAGCUAACGCUUUAAGUACCCCGCCUGGGGAGUACGGCCGCAAGGCUAAAACUCAAAGGAAUUGACGGGGCCCCGCACAAGCGGCGGAGCAUGCGGAUUAAUUCGAUGCAACGCGUAGAACCUUACCUGGGUUUGACAUGGAUCGGGAGUGCUCAGAGAUGGGUGUGCCUCUUUUGGGGUCGGUUCACAGGUGGUGCAUGGCUGUCGUCAGCUCGUGUCGUGAGAUGUUGGGUUAAGUCCCGCAACGAGCGCAACCCUUGUUCACUGUUGCCAGCACGUUAUGGUGGGGACUCAGUGGAGACCGCCGGGGUCAACUCGGAGGAAGGUGGGGAUGACGUCAAGUCAUCAUGCCCCUUAUGUCCAGGGCUUCACGCAUGCUACAAUGGCUGGUACAGAGAGUGGCGAGCCUGUGAGGGUGAGCGAAUCUCGGAAAGCCGGUCUCAGUUCGGAUUGGGGUCUGCAACUCGACCUCAUGAAGUCGGAGUCGCUAGUAAUCGCAGAUCAGCAACGCUGCGGUGAAUACGUUCCCGGGGCU